GAGGUUGUGGCUCAGUGGUAGAGCACUUGCCUAGCAAGUGUGAGGCACUGGGUUCAAUUCUCAGCACCACA
rnacentral:tRNA from 1 species